rnacentral:tRNA from 1 species
GGGUUCGUAGCUUAACGGCAGAGCAUCCGACUCUUAAUCGGACAUGUGAGGGUCCGACUCCCUCCGAACCCA